rfam:Triticum aestivum genome assembly, contig: Triticum_aestivum_CS42_TGACv1_scaffold_474193_6AL
GUACUACACCCUCCGUCCCAAAAUUCUUGUCUUAAAUUUAUCUAGAUGCGGAUGUAUCUAACACUAAAAUGUAACUAGAUACAUCCGUAUUUAGACAAAUCUAAGACAAGAAUUUUGGGACGGAGGGAGUAGAAA